AUGGAGGCGGAGAAGCCGGCCGGCCGGCGGCAGGUGCUGCAUCUCCUCUUAAGUCAGCCAAGGAGGAUAGGCCGCCAGAUCGAGGGCCAUGGGUGGAAGAAGUACACCUUCCUCGAAGUGUACUUCUGCGGCGAGCACAUGAAGGAGAAGAGGGUAUGCUCGCUGCUGCUCCCCGGCAGGCACGCCGACGUGAAGCCGUGGAAGGAACACUACGAGUUUCAGGUGGACGGUGGAUGGCGGCACCUGUGCCUCCGCCUCGAGGCCGUGCGCGAGGACUGCGACGUCGACGAGGACACGGGCCACGUGAAGGUGCUCCGCACGGACGAGCCGCACACCUCCGGCUGCUCCGCGGCCAUCGGGGCGGCGCAGGUGCGACUCCUGGACGCGCUGGUGCUGGGCGACGACGACGGCGACGACGAGGCGGUCGCGGAGAAGAAGAGUCGCCUGAGUCGCCUCGAGCUCCAGAAGAAUAAUGCUGAUCUGAAAAUUAUUCCGGCCAAGGGGACGCUGGUGUUCUACGAGAGGGUCGAGCUUCAGGGCUGGCGUCCCCCGCCCCCGGGGCCGGGCCGAAAGCCGACCAAUGUUGUUUGCGGCACCGUGGACGUGGCCCUGUACGUGACCGAGGGCGGCGCCGGCUCUGGCCGAUGA
rnacentral:rRNA from 1 species